GUUGUGGGAUCCUUCCAGAAGCAAGACAGAGAGGAAGGCUGAUGUCACUGGAGCAAGCCCAUUUCCAAAAAAACCCACUGUUACUCAGAAGACAGUUUUCAUCUUCUUAUGAAAUACGUGUGAAAGAAAAAGAAGCAGCUGCGCCAAAGAGCCCAGCAACCCAGAAGUUUCCUGUCCUAUUCUUUCCUAUGGAGAAAGCUGGGAUUUGGAAGCUCUCAAGACAAACAUGCAUCUAUAUUCCCGUAUAAGACUACAGCACAGCUGCCAAGAUUGCAAGAUACCACAGAAUCUGUAGUUGCCUCUGAGACCAACUGUGCUAGGAAUGGAUAAUCCUGCCUUUUAUUUAUAAAUAAAAAUAUAUUUUUAAAAAAUUCCCUGUUAUCCAUUAAAGUCAAAUGUGUGCUAGGAUAAACAGAAGUGAAAAUGGUUAAUUCCUAGGGCCUAGGACUAUUUCAUCUGGAUGGGAUUUUGUGACAGUUUUUCCUAUAGCGCCUUAUAAUUCUUGUUCACAUGCACCAGAAACACCGUGAGAAACAAGCACUGACUGGUUAUGGGUGGACGUGUUUUUCUUUCUGGGAUGCGCACUAUAGAGUUGCAUAAAACUGGAAAUAAACAGCUGUCUAUCACUCGGAACAAAGAUGCUGAGUUCACUUCAGAUGCAAUUAAAAUCAGGGCUGAAAUACUGCUUGUGGUCAACGGUUCUAGGAAAGCUAUAAUGUUACUGAUGUAACGUGGACUUUCCCAGCUGCUGUGGAAGUUAGAGACUGUAUACAUAUAGCUUUGCUCUCAUCCAGUUUGAGAACUGACAAAUAUCCCAUUUUUGCCUGCACAGUACCCUGAUGCUAACUGUGGGUAGCCUUCUGUUGCAGCCGUUGCUUCUCCUUGGGAGCAAUGCUCUCUAGAAACAAGGUUGUACAUGAGCCAACCAAUUUACUUUCCCCUGUUAUCUUAGCUCUUAAGCUAUGGAAAGAUAACGGUGACUACAGGAAGACUGUUUUAAAGUGAUACGUUCCAUUUUGCCACGGAGGCUGGGAUGCUGCUCUCUGGAUAUGACAAGGAAGAAAACCUUAUAUGCAUGGUUGACCAGAAGAAUUCCUUGAAUGUGGCUGAAUGUGACUUGCCAAGGAAAUAGGUUAUUAUUUUCUCCUCUCUGCUUCCUCUGAUGGCACUUUUUUUCACUAUGUGGGAAUGGUGAAAAUAAAAGACAGUAGAAGAAAGGAAUGAAAGUGAAAGAUCAAAGCUCUUGAUUCAGUCAGACUUAGUGAUCACUUUAUUAACAUUGUGUUUACAAUUCAAGGUUUAAAAAAAAAAGUCGAAGUGCAGAUUUGUAAGCAUGCUUGCUGGAUACGUUGAUGUAAUCUGAGUUAUUCUAUUGUGACCUGCUGCUGAUAUUUCUACAUGAGAACAACCCAUUGUCACCAGUAGGGUCCAGUUCAACAACCACCUCCUGGGGAGAAGUGGGAUUAAAUAUCACCCUAUUAAUAUCUGAUGCUUGUCUUUAUAGGUUUUUGUUGGCAAUAGAAGUGUAGCGUUUGGGUUUCUAGAGUAUACAUAGCUUGAUAGAAGAUUGCUCAGAUUCUGCAAUGCAGCAGCACUCCUUCAGAAGUCAGCUAGGUUUUUUACAGAGGGAAAAAUAACUUUAUGGUCCAAUCUCACAGUUGGUUUUAAGCAACUUGACCUGUAGUCAAAUUGAAAUUUCCCUCCAAGUUUAAGGAAAAUCUUCAGAGGCAGAAGGAUGUUGCUUUAAAUUCAUGUCUUUAAAAAUGUUUUUAUGUUUUGUCACUUACUGUAAGCUCAGAGCUGUAACCAUGUCUUGAUAUUUGACUCUAUUAUAAAAUUCAGUCAUUUUCCCUUAAUGGAGUAUCUAAUAGUUUUUAAUGGAAUGUCUAACAGUUGUUUAUUGGUAAGCAAACAUCAGCCUUCACUCAUUAUUGUGGCAAACAUAUGCGGGCAGAAGGGCUUACUCUUCCAGUAUGAGGCAAAGAAUAAAGAACUUUAUAUUGGCUUGA